rnacentral:rRNA from 1 species
GAUGAACGCUGGCGGCGUGCCUAAUACAUGCAAGUCGAGCGAACAGACGAGGAGCUUGCUCCUCUGACGUUAGCGGCGGACGGGUGAGUAACACGUGGAUAACCUACCUAUAUGACUGGGAUAACUUCGGGAAACCGGAGCUAAUACCGGAUAAUAUAUUGAACCGCAUGGUUCAAUAGUGAAAGACGGUUUUGCUGUCACUUAUAGAAGGAUCCGCGCCGCAUUAGCUAGUUGGUAAGGUAACGGCUUACCAAGGCGACGAUGCGUAGCCGACCUGAGAGGGUGAUCGGCCACACUGGAACUGAGACACGGUCCAGACUCCUACGGGAGGCAGCAGUAGGGAAUCUUCCGCAAUGGGCGAAAGCCUGACGGAGCAACGCCGCGUGAGUGAUGAAGGUCUUCGGAUCGUAAAACUCUGUUAUUAGGGAAGAACAAAUGUGUAAGUAACUAUGCACGUCUUGACGGUACCUAAUCAGAAAGCCACGGCUAACUACGUG